GACGUAGGAUGCAAGCGUUAUCCGGAAUGAUUGGGCGUAAAGCGUCCGCAGGUGGCAGUUCAAGUCUGCUGUCAAAGACCGGGGCUUAACUUCGGAAAGGCAGUGGAAACUGAACAGCUAGAGUAUGGUAGGGGCAGAGGGAAUUCCUGGUGUAGCGGUGAAAUGCGUAGAGAUCAGGAAGAACAUCGGUGGCGAAGGCGCUCUGCUGGACCAUAACUGACACUCAGGGACGAAAGCUAGGGGAGCGAAUGGG
rnacentral:rRNA from 1 species